AUUGAACGCUGGCGGCAGGCUUAACACAUGCAAGUCGAGCGGAGAUGAGGUGCUUGCACCUUAUCUUAGCGGUGGACGGGUGAGUAAUGCUUAGGAAUCUGCCUAUUAGUGGGGGACAACAUUCCGAAAGGAAUGCUAAUACCGCAUACGUCCUACGGGAGAAAGCAGGGGAUCUUCGGACCUUGCGCUAAUAGAUGAGCCUAAGUCGGAUUAGCUAGUUGGUGGGGUAAAGGCCUACCAAGGCGACGAUCUGUAGCGGGUCUGAGAGGAUGAUCCGCCACACUGGGACUGAGACACGGGCCAGACUCCUACGGGAGGCAGCAGUGGGGAAUAUUGGACAAUGGGGGGAACCCUGAUCCAGCCAUGCCGCGUGUGUGAAGAAGGCCUUAUGGUUGUAAAGCACUUUAAGCGAGGAGGAGGCUACUGAGACUAAUACUCUUGGAUAGUGGACGUUACUCGCAGAGUAAGCACCGGCUAACUCUGUGCCAGCCGCCGCAGUAACAC
rnacentral:rRNA from 1 species